rnacentral:rRNA from 1 species
GACGAACGCUGGCGGCGUGCUUAACACAUGCAAGUCGAGCGGUAAGGCCCUUUCGGGGGUACACGAGCGGCGAACGGGUGAGUAACACGUGGGUGACCUGCCCUCAGCUCUGGAAUAAGCCUGGGAAACCGGGUCUAAUACUGGAUAUGACUCCAUGACGCAUGUUGUGGGGUGGAAAGCCUUGUGCGGCUGAGGAUGGGCCCGCGGCCUAUCAGCUUGUUGGUGGGGUGAUGGCCUACCAAGGCGACGACGGGUAGCCGGCCUGAGAGGCGACCGGCCACACUGGGACUGAGACACGGCCCAGACUCCUACGGGAGGCAGCAGUGGGGAAUCUUGCGCAAUGGGCGAAAGCCUGACGCAGCGACGCCGCGUGAGGGAUGACGGCCU